ACCUCAUCCUCCUCUGCCCCCGAUUCCUUCUCUCCUCGCAGCAGCCCCCGCCCCCUUCUCAAAGCUCCGCCAUCCCCGUCCUGUACUCCCUUGGAGAAGAUCUAUUUUUUUCGACGGGAGGAGUCAUUCCGGCUUGAUCCGUCCUGUACUCCCUUGGAAAAGAUCGAUUUUUUUCGACGGGAGGAGUCAUUCCGGCUUGAUCCGUCCUGUACUCCCUUGGAAAAGAUCGAUUUUUUUCGACGGGAGGAGUCAUUCCGGCUUGAUCCGGUGGUGGCGAUGCCGGCCAGAUCCUGCGACGGCGCCGACGCGAGCCACCAAGGGCCGUGGACUCCCUCUCUGGCUGCGCUUCCGCCAAACCCUAGCGGCUCGGCGUCCCGGCGACCAUCUCCGAGGUGGUUUCUUUCUGCAGCAGCCAGCCCAUGGAGAAGGCCCGGACAAAUUCUCGGAGCAGUACGCCCGCCGCUCCAGCACCUUUCCUCACCGCCGUCGUCAUUCAAGGUUCUCUCUGUGGUUGAAAUUUGGCAAGAUGAAGUUGUUCCUAUGGUUUCUGUCAUGAAAAUUAAAAUGACACCUUUGGAGUCUUGUGCUGACAUGGGUGGUUUAGAUGCUCAAAUUCAAGAGAUCAAAGAAGCAGCUGAACUUCCUGAGCUAUAUGAGGACAUUGGAUUCAGGCCUCCGAAGGGAGUCAUACUGUAUGGGGAACAGGGAAAGCUUUACUUGCAAAGGUACAGAAUAUUGCCACUCAUCAGUAUCUGCAGCAUCUAAGGUGGAAGUAAGAUGUUACUUAUGGACGAGUUAACGGAAUGCCAUUCUAAUUUCUACGACAUGAAUAUGUACUAUGUUUCCUAGAAGUUCACUUGAUAGCCUUUUCGUUGUAGGGGCAUUUUUAUUGCCUAAUUUGCUCCAUAAUUGAGUUGCGAAAAUUUGAUAGCUUCAGAAUGUCAUCCAGUGAAUUAUGGAGCUCUGAGACAGACGGAUGCACUGCUGUCAAUAAAUGUGAGGUUCAGAGGAGUUCUGUCAAAUGCCACAACAUGCUUAUCAUAUCAUAGGUUGGUUCCUUCCCACCAUUGCACUUGUCCCGGCUUCUUAUAUAGAAGAUGAUUUGGAAGCUCGAAAUAGAAAAUCAAUUAAUGUAAUGCAGAUUACACAUUAAGCAACUUCUGAAAGCAAAGACCAAGAGAAAUGUGGUGAGCUCUGUAGGAGUAAAGUGAUGUAACAGUCUCUUUGAUUCAAGGAAUUUUUUGUACAAUUUCCUUUCUUUACGAAGUUUGAGGGCACCUGCUUGGAAAAAAAAAUUGAUGCUCUUUGAUGUCUAUUUUAAGCGUACCUUCUGUAAGUCGAUACACCAUUCUAUACAUUUCACUUGUUGUACUUCAAGAUUCAUCUGCACUAUUGUACAUAUAUUUUAUUAUUAAUUUAUUAUCUAUUCAUGAAUUAUUUUGUAAAUUUUACAACAGAUGAUGGCAGAGUCAGUGAUGAUUAGUGCAUCUCAGAUUGUAAUAGACCUUGAUCAUGUAGUGACUUAAUUUCUCGGCCUCUUAAGAGUAAGACUAAAUUUUUGCGUGAUACGAAUCAUGAAAAUAUUGCUGCACCAACACACGUGCUCAAUUAGUGGAUAUAAUAAUCGAUAGAUAGAUUCUUGGUCCUUACCCGUACUAGCUUGGAAAAUAAAUUUGCUGUAGGUGAUGUAACCCCCCUACACAAUCUAGCUUGCACUUAGUAUUAUUAAGAGGGCUUGCAUAUAUGAUGUCAAACAAAAAGAGGGCUCACAUAUAUGUCCUCUGUUUAACAAGGAGAUGAACUGGAAUAAAUACUAGGUACAUAAUAUCUAUUGUAAAUUAUAUUUAUUACUUAAUACGUGCAGCUUGAAAAAGUAAAGCACUAAUGGAGCAAUAAGUGGAAGUCCAAUUCAGAAAGAAGUAGUUUGUUUUAUAUACUAGAUUGGACAAUGCUUUUCUGCUCGAAGUCUAUUACUGAAUCUUAAAUCAAGAGGAAGUUAUCUAACUGGUCUUCCAUCUCAUUUUCUUCUUAAGGAACCAGGAAGUUUCGCGAAGUCAAUACAGUGGGCGACAGAGCAGCUAAGUCAUUUAAGGUAACACACCAGGCCUGGAUUAACAUGCCAACUUUCUUGUGAUUUGCCUACAGUUAGAUGAAUUUACCAUCAAUUUACAUAGUGUACAUAAUAUAUGGACAAGUCAGGUUGCCACAGAAUUUUAAUCUAACAUAAUCAUAUCGACGGCCACGACGGACAAGCAACAACGCGGAGCAGGGACAGGUGGUGGUAAGAGUAAGUAUCACUUGUCAUGUUUAACUCAUGGCCAACAAAGAGCAAGUAUCACUUGAAACUCACUACAGAGCAAGUAUCACUUGAAACUCACUACAAGAAGAAUACUGUUGUGACGAUUAUAUACAUAUAUGUUCCACUUGGUUGCUCAGUUGGUAUUAAUUUUUUAUCACUUCCUUUUUCUUGCAGUCAAGUUUUGAAACUGGGCUUUGAUGAGAAGUUCAUUCAUAUAUGGGAAUUCUACCUUGUAUACUCUGCCACUGGUUUCAAGUCAUGAGUAGUUAGAGAUUACCAGGCACGGAUGUGUAUAUGUGUGCUCUUUGUAUAUGUUUACCUGCAUUAUUACUAGACAAAUGGAAGUCAUAUACUCCCUCUGGUCUUCAAAAAACAUCUUUCUGGAAACUGUUUGGUGGUUUCCAAUGCAGACUAAAAUUUAAGUUGAUGUCGCUUUCUACAAUUAUGUUAAUCUCAACCAUAAGAUUGAGAGAUCAGUAGACAACAGAUCUUUGAGUGAAUAGUAGUAAAUUAGAACCUUUGGUGAACUUGUAGAAAGCAAGCUUUCAUCGUUUGAGAUUGUAAAUGACCUGGGACAGACCUGAGUCAUUUACAAUCUCAAUUGAUAACUUUGAAUCUUUGCGUCUUCUGUAUAUAUAUAUUUCAGCACAUUUUAUAUCAACUGUUAACUUUGAAUCUUUGUGUCUUCCAUCAGAUCAUGCUUACUGUUGGAUUCGCACAUGAAUAACUAAAAGCACCAUGCAUUACACAUUUCCUUCAUUUUAGCCAUUAAACUUAUGUAUCUGGUGUUAAUUUAGUAUGAUUUCUUGUACUGAGUGUAUCUUCAUCUUAGUUAGGAAGGUCUCUGAGUGUCUUUGGUCAUCCUAAAUUUUAUGUGGAUUCUUUUUCCAGUCUUUUUUAGGUUUGCCAUACAAUAAUUAUUAUAGCCCUUGAUCUGCACAUGCCCAAUUUCCUUAUAUUGUACAGUUUCCCAUUCUAUAAUAACAGCCUUUCUGGUUUCUGCCUUGCUAAAAUGUUGAAGCACGGCAACAUGUUUAAUACUGUCAGAACUAAGCAUAUGGUAGAGAAAGGGUUGCUUGCAUGCCAUCCAUGUCAAAAAGAAAAUGUUAAAUCCCCUCUUCCAUUUUCCUUACCUUGAAUCUAACGCUUUGUUGAUCUGUUUUUAUCGUCUAGAUGUUCUGCAACUAUAUACACAAUAGAUACUGUCUGCCUGAACUAUAGUUCCACUCCUUGAGAAGAUGAGAUAAACUAAGAAUGGGGCAAAGAAAUUCCGACUCUUCCUGCUCGCAGGCAGGGCCUGCUAUGACUCCUAUGGAUGGCAUUACCGCAAUUAUCGAGCCUUCAAAUUUUGAAGAUAACAAGUAGCCCGAAUCCAAGAAGAAAACUAAUUCAAUUCUGCCAAGACUACUAUAUUUUGGGUAUCUUUGUUCCAACUUUGCAUUGACAUCACUUGGAAAAUGUUUAUGUGUUCCUUUGAUUUUCACCAAGAAAAUAAACAUUCUGAAAUCUUUAUAGGAUAUUUGAUUCCAUUUUUACUAAAGAAUAGACUAAAUAGACUACGUCCUUACAUUCUCCAUGGAGAAGUUGUCCACCCAGUUGAUUUGCCAUUGAUUUGUGACAUUUUUUGUGCAGUUAUGAUUUCUGUGGUUUGCUUGGUACCGUCAAAAGAUAAUUUAUGGGUUUGUACUUCUCCUUUUGUUUAUAGAGAAUGGGUCAUCCUAGAGUAUGAAUUGAAAAUUUUAUACCCCCAUGAAUUUGACAUGGUUUGA
rnacentral:rRNA from 1 species